rnacentral:rRNA from 1 species
GCCGGAGGAUGCAAGCGUUAUCCGGAAUUAUUGGGCGUAAAGCGUCCGCAGGUGGCCUAUCAAGUCUGCUGUCAAAGACCGGGGCUUAACCCCAGAAAGGCAGUGGAAACUGAAAGGCUAGAGGAUGGUAGGGGCAGAGGGAAUUCCCAGUGUAGCGGUGAAAUGCGUAGAGAUUGGGAAGAACACCGGUGGCGAAAGCGCUCUGCUGGGCCAUAACUGACACUCAGGGACGAAAGCUAGGGGAGCGAAUGGG